GUCUACAGUCAUACCACCUGAACAUGCCUGAUCUUGUCUGAUCUCAGAAGUUAAGCAGGGUCAGGCUUGGUUAGUAUUUGGAAGGGAGACACAUCUUAAUACAAGGCUCACC
rnacentral:rRNA from 1 species